UACGGAGGAUGCAAGCGUUAUCCGGAAUGAUUGGGCGUAAAGCGUCCGCAGGUGGCUGUGUAAGUCUGCUGUCAAAGAGCGAAGCUCAACUUCGUAAAGGCAGUGGAAACUACACGGCUAGAGUGCGUUCGGGGCAGAGGGAAUUCCAGGUGUAGCGGUGAAAUGCGUAGAUAUCUGGAGGAAUACCGGUGGCGAAGGCGGCAUCCUGGACCAAUACUGACGCUGAGGCGCGAAAGCUAGGGGAGCAAACGGG
rnacentral:rRNA from 1 species